rnacentral:rRNA from 1 species
GAAUUCGCCCUUAGAGUUUGAUCCUGGCUCAGAUUGAACGCUGGCGGCAGGCCUAACACAUGCAAGUCGAGCGGCAGCACGGGUACUUGUACCUGGUGGCGAGCGGCGGACGGGUGAGUAAUGCCUAGGAAUCUGCCUGGUAGUGGGGGAUAACGCUCGGAAACGGACGCUAAUACCGCAUACGUCCUACGGGAGAAAGCAGGGGACCUUCGGGCCUUGCGCUAUCAGAUGAGCCUAGGUCGGAUUAGCUAGUUGGUGAGGUAAUGGCUCACCAAGGCGACGAUCCGUAACUGGUCUGAGAGGAUGAUCAGUCACACUGGAACUGAGACACGGUCCAGACUCCUACGGGAGGCAGCAGUGGGGAAUAUUGGACAAUGGGCGAAAGCCUGAUCCAGCCAUGCCGCGUGUGUGAAGAAGGUCUUCGGAUUGUAAAGCACUUUAAGUUGGGAGGAAGGGCGGUUACCUAAUACGUAAUUGUUUUGACGUUACCGACAGAAUAAGCGCCGGCUAACUCUGUGCCAGCAGCCGCGGUAAUACAGAGGGUGCAAGCGUUAAUCGGAAUUACUGGGCGUAAAGCGCGCGUAGGUGGUUCGUUAAGUUGGAUGUGAAAUCCCCGGGCUCAACCUGGGAACUGCAUUCAAAACUGACGAGCUAGAGUAUGGUAGAGGGUGGUGGAAUUUCCUGUGUAGCGGUGAAAUGCGUAGAUAUAGGAAGGAACACCAGUGGCGAAGGCGACCACCUGGACUGAUACUGACACUGAGGUGCGAAAGCGUGGGGAGCAAACAGGAUUAGAUACCCUG